GCCCUGUAUUCACACACACACACAUAAGUUUGGCUCUGUGUGUGUGUUUGGGUGUGGUCAUGCAUGCCUGUAUUGUACCUGUGUAUACGUGUGUAUGUAUGUAUCAUUUUUUGUGUGUGUGUUUGUGGACGUGUAUGUGUAUAUUAGCCGUAUAUCCAUGGGUAGAACACAUCUACAUGUGAUGUGUAAAGCGACCAUGAAAGGACAGUGGCCCUAUUUCAUUAAAACAGACAGCUGAUUUGCUAAUGUGUUGUGGAUGUGUGAUCAGGGUGUGGAUGGGUGUUGUGCAUGUGUGAUCAGUGUGUUGGAAGGGUGUUGUGGAUGUGUGAUCAGUGUGUUGGAAGGGUGUUGUGGAUGUGUGAUCAGUGUGUUGGAUGGGUGUUGUGGAUGUGUGAUCAGUGUGUUGGAUGGGUGUUGUGGAUGUGUGAUCAGUGUGUUGGAAGGGUGUUGUGGAUGUGUGAUCAGUGUGUUGGAUGGGUGUUGUGGAUGUGUGAUCAGUGUGUUGGAUGGGUGUUGUGGGUGUGUGAUCAGUGUGUUGGAUGGGUGUUGUGGAUGUGUGAUCAGGGUGUGGAUGGGUGUUGUGGAUGUGUGAUCAGGAUUUGGAUGGGUGUUGUGGGUGUGUGAUCAGUGUGUUGGAUGGGUGUUGUGGGUGUGUGAUCAGGGUGUGGAUGGGUGUUGUGGAUGUGUGAUCAGGGUGUGGAUGGGUGUUGUGGGUGUGUGAUCAGUGUGUUGGAUGGGUGUUGUGGAUGUGUGAUCAGUGUGUUGGAAGGGUGUUGUGGAUGUGUGAUCAGUGUGUUGGAUGGGUGUUGUGGAUGUGUGAUCAGGGUGUGGAUGGGUGUUGUGGAUGUGUGAUCAGUGUGUUGGAUGGGUGUUGUGGGUGUGUGAUCAGGGUGUGGAUGGGUGUUGUGGAUGUGUGAUCAUGUGUUGGAUGGGUGUUGUGGGUGUGUGAUCAGGGUGUGGAUGGGUGUUGUGGGUGUGUGAUCAGGGUGUGGAUGGGUGUUGUGGGUGUGUGAUCAGUG
ensembl:lncRNA